GAACUGAAGAGUUUGAUCAUGGCUCAGAUUGAACGCUGGCGGCAGGCCUAACACAUGCAAGUCGAGCGGAUGAAGGGAGCUUGCUCCUGGAUUCAGCGGCGGACGGGUGAGUAAUGCCUAGGAAUCUGCCUGGUAGUGGGGGAUAACGUCCGGAAACGGGCGCUAAUACCGCAUACGUCCUGAGGGAGAAAGUGGGGGAUCUUCGGACCUCACGCUAUCAGAUGAGCCUAGGUCGGAUUAGCUAGUUGGUGGG
rnacentral:rRNA from 1 species